AUGGCCAUAUAAUGAUAUAUUGUCGACUGCUGGUUGUCCUGCUGCUAUCGGUGCUACGAGCGGUGAGCGCGUGUGGCGGCAAGAAGGUGGUCACCUGCAAUCCGAACAAACCGCCUUGUAAACGAUAGUGUGGCAUGGAAACAGAGUUGUUCCAAGAGGUUGUGGUGCUGCUUGUGACGCUGCUGCUGUCGUACCUGGAGUCCUGCUUUGCCUGCACGAGGGUCCGCUACAACGACUGUACUGACUCUAAUGCUACGUGUAAGAAAUAAGCAAAAAUGCCGUUCAUAAACGAAUUCGUGCUGGUGUUCAUUCACAUCGCGCUAUCGGUGAUGGAGGCGACGAGCGCCUGUAGGAGACGCAAGCAUUGUCUCAGCAGUGAGUGCAGACCCUGCAAUCAGUUUGGGGGACCGAAAGCUAGAGCCAAGCAAAACAUAAAGUAACACCAUCAAACCAUGUCCUCAAAGAAAUUCCUAUUCAUUCUCCUGCUCCUCAUCAUGUGGACACUGGCGACCGGCUGCAAGCGGAAGAACACCUGCCCUAAAUACUGUAUACCAUGCAAAUAUAAGGGCCCCAUUAUAGAAAUACUGCACCCUAAAGAGGCAAGAAAUUCCUUUGUUAUGGCAGAAGAUAAGACUAUGAAGAGAAAGUGGCGAAUAUGGAAAAAAUAGCAAAAAAAUUGACAAAUUG